rnacentral:lncRNA from 1 species
AUUAGACAUGGAGUCUAGUUUGGUUACUGAACUAAAAACUGCUUGAGUAGGCAUUGGUAUAUUUUGUCGGACUAACCCCUGCAGGAAAACUUUCAAUAUUAACCUGGGAAGUCCUGAGCUACAAGCCCAUUGGAGAUAAAGGAGACACAUGAAAUUUAACGACUUGCACAAGGAAGACAUAGCUCAUUCAUCAUAAAGAGAUGAUCCAUGGAGGGUGCCACAAACACGAUGCACAACCGCUAAGAAAGGAAAGCUUCCACAAGGUGAUACUAUACCAUCACUCUUCAAGU